rnacentral:rRNA from 1 species
AUUGAACGCUGGCGGCAUGCCUUACACAUGCAAGUCGAACGGUAACAGGUUAAGCUGACGAGUGGCGAACGGGUGAGUAAUACAUCGGAACGUGCCCAGUAGUGGGGGAUAGCCCGGCGAAAGCCGGAUUAAUACCGCAUACGACCUAAGGGUGAAAGGGGGGGAUCGCAAGACCUCUCGCUAUUGGAGCGGCCGAUGUCAGAUUAGCUAGUUGGUGGGGUAAAAGCUCACCAAGGCGACGAUCUGUAGCUGGUCUGAGAGGACGACCAGCGACACUGGGACUGAGACACGGCCCAGACUCCUACGGGAGGCAGCAGUGGGGAAUUUUGGACAAUGGGCGCAAGCCUGAUCCAGCCAUGCCGCGUGCGGGAAGAAGGCCUUCGGGUUGUAAACCGCUUUUGUCAGGGAAGAAAUCCUUUGGGUUAAUACCUCGGGGGGAUGACGGUACCUGAAGAAUAAGCACCGGCUAACUACGUGCCAGCAGCCGCAGUAACAC